CCUACGGGUGGCAGCAGUGAGGAAUAUUGGUCAAUGGACGAGAGUCUGAACCAGCCAAGUAGCGUGAAGGAUGACUGCCCUAUGGGUUGUAAACUUCUUUUAUAUGGGAAUAAAAUGUUCCACGUGUGGGAUUUUGUAUGUACCAUAUGAAUAAGGAUCGGCUAACUCCGUGCCAGCAGCCGCGGUAAUACGGAGGAUGCGAGCGUUAUCCGGAUUUAUUGGGUUUAAAGGGUGCGUAGGCGGACGCUUAAGUCAGCGGUAAAAUUGCGGGGCUCAACCUCGUCGAGCCGUUGAAACUGGGUGCCUUGAGUGGGCGAGAAGUACGCGGAAUGCGUGGUGUAGCGGUGAAAUGCAUAGAUAUCACGCAGAACUCCGAUUGCGAAGGCAGCGUACCGGCGCCCAACUGACGCUGAAGCACGAAGGCGUGGGUAUCGAACAGGAUUAGAUACCCCGGUAGUC
rnacentral:rRNA from 1 species